AGGGCACGUGGGGGGUGCUGCCAAGUUAUUUUGGCUUUAUAAAAACCCUGGGGAGCAUUGCAUUAGAGAGGCUCUGGAGGUGCUUGCUCAAGUCUGUUCCCACUCUGUGAAUUGUACUUUCGCUUCUUCCAUAAAUCUGUGCCUUUAUUACCCUGUUCUUCUGUUGCUUGUCUUUCAUUGCUUCUUCUUUUUGUGCGGUUUUUUCAAUUCUUUGUUCAACCCGCCCAGAAUCUGAACAAUUCUCAGUCAAGACCUUCUAUCCGGUACUGCAUUUUGGCAAGACAGCCAGGAGAAACGAAAAGCAGAAUACUGAAAGAAUACACCUGUUUUGAAGUCUGAUAAAUAACCCUCAUCUAUUCAAGAUCCAGAACAAAGGAGAUGACAUCUGACAAUGUUUCCCAGACUGGCCUUGAACUCCUGAGCUCAAGCAAUCGGCCACCUCAGUGUCUCAAAGUGCUGGGAUUACAGGAACGAGCCACUGCACUUGAGCAGAACUUUCAAAAUUAUAUAUGGUUAGCCCACAUCCAGAAAUUAUUCUUCUGAAAUAAGACCUGUAUAUCCACAGAUUUCAAAAGCUCUCUUUAACAUUCAGCCAGUGUUGAGAUCCAUCAGCAAAGGUAUCUGAAGCCUUUUUAUACCAAAGCUGUCAUCAGUUUAGAAUUAAUGAUAGACUGGCUCAAGUUUGGUGUGUAUAAUAAUUUUUUACAAUCUUUAAUACACAACAAAUUUGUGGGAAACCAGUAAUUCACCUUGAUUUACUGAAUUUCAUUUUUAAAAAUCUUCCUUCAAUUUCCAUUAGCUACAUAACUCAUCUAUUUAUUUACAUUAAACUGUGAUAUGCUGGGUGAAGUUCCAAAUAUUUACCCAUUGACAAAGAUGUAUGGUAAAUGAGACAGGCAAGAGUAACCCACACAGACAAUGAAGCAUGCUAAGUUCUUUGUCUCUGUUCAUAAGCAACACUGCUUUUUUUCUAAUAGAUUAUAAAGAUAUAUCAAAAUAAUUUGCCAAUAAAGUGUAUCUGAAUGAUAAAAUGUUGGCAUAUGGUCAAAUUAUAUUGAGAACCUAAAUUUGGUUGAGAAAAUUAUUAUGUCCCAUUCUUGGAACCUUUGCAGACAGUUGAACAAUAAUAUAGGGCAAUAUUUCUUUAAAACAGCUAACAACAGUAAAUAAAGUUAAAUAAUAUAGUAUAUUCAUCAUCAGCUCUCAAGGAAAAAUAAAUCUGUCUGUCAAUUUACUUCAAGGGAAUAGUUUUGUCAUGUUUCCACUCUAGCUAUCCUUUUAAAGCUUACCAUAUCUGAAAUAAAUAAUCUACAAAUCUCAAACUAGGUAUCUUCUUAGAGUCCCAAAGUAUAUAAGUAUGGAUACGGAUAUCAAUGUGAUUUCUUUCCUGACCCAAUCUCUUUUCCAAAAUGUACAACAUAGUGCCCUUAUCUUUUAAAACUGGAAAAAUUUAUAAUUUAUUAUUUUUUGUAAUUGAGGAAUAUUUUCUAAGUAAUAAACAGAUCUUGUGCUCAGUUUGGCAAAAUUGCUGAUUAAAUAGACUUAUGUAUGUACCAUGUAAAACAAAAUAAAGACUC
rnacentral:lncRNA from 1 species